rnacentral:misc_RNA from 1 species
GAUGAAGAACGCAGCGAAAUGCGAUAAGUAAUGUGAAUUGCAGAAUUCAGUGAAUCAUCGAAUCUUUGAACGCGCCUUGCGCUCCUUGGUAUUCCGAGGAGCAUGCCUGUUUGAGUGUCAUGAAAUUCUCAACCUUUUCAGCUUUCUUUGUUGAUCAGGCUUGGAUGUGGGAGUAUGCGGGCUUCUCAGAAGUCGGCUCUCCUGAAAUGCAUUAGCGGGACCUUUGUUGCCUGGCUUUGGUGUGAUAAUUAUCUACGCCAUUGUAGUCAAGCAGCUUAAAAUGAGGUUUCAGCUUCUAACCGUCUCCCCUGAGACAACUUUUUGACAAUUUGACCUCAAAUCAGGUAGGACUACCCGCUGAACUUAAGCAUAUCAAUAAGCGGAGGA